AGCGAACGCUGGCGGCAGGCCUAACACAUGCAAGUCGAGCGGGCGUAGCAAUACGUCAGCGGCAGACGGGAGAGUAACACGUGGGAACGUGCCCUUUGGUUCGGAAUAACUCAGGGAAACUUGAGCUGAUACCGGAUAAGCCCUUCGGGGGAAAGAUUUAUUGCCAUUGGAGCGGCCCGCGUCGGCUUAGCUCGUUGGUGAGGUAAUGGCUCACCAAGGCGACGAUCCGUAGCUGGUCUGAGAGGAUGACCAGACUCACUGGGACUGAGACACGGCCCGGACGCCUACGGGAGGCAGCAGUGGGGAAUAUUGGACAAUGGGCGCAUGCCUGAUCCAGCCAUGCCGCGUGGAUGAUGAAGGCCCUAGGGUUGUAAAGUCCUUUUAACGGGGAAGAUAAUGACGGUACCCGUAGAAUAAGCCCCGGCUAACUUCGUGCCAGCAGCCGCCGUAA
rnacentral:rRNA from 1 species